GGGUUAACGGUGAGGCGAACACGUGCUGGGUCCUGAUUGGCUGCCACGCAGGUGGCGGUUUUGCGUGGGGCGGGGUCUCGAGACCACACCCAAGCCCCACUCUUCUGGUCCUUGCUCCAGUUCUCAGAGAAUGUGGCUGGUCCGUGCUAGCUGAGAUGAAGCAGGUUCGCCACUUGCUGCGUUAUCGCCACGGGACAGGUUAGGAGUCACCCUGUGUCAGACUUCACCACAGAUGCAAUUGGGGUGACGUGAUCAAGUGGGAGUCUCAGUUCUAAGCAGUUGCACGUGAUCCACAGGGCCUUGCGCUUGCUAGGCAAGCGCUCUACCGCUGAGCUAAAUCCCCAACCCGAGACUGAUCCAUCUCAAGCGGGAGCAAUCUGGUCCUGAAGGGACAGCAGUGGGAGUAAUGGCAGCUGUGGAGUGCUGGACAGCUUGAUACAGGAAGCACCAAAUGCAGAGAGAGAACAGACCAUACAACCCCGCUGGACUAUAAACCCUAAAGCCCACCACUAGGGGCAUACUUCCGCCAACAAGGAUCCACCCUCUGAAGGCUACACAACCUCUCCAAACAGCGCCACCUACUGGGGAACCAUGUGUUCGAGCACAAGAGCCAAGGGGGACAUAUCUUAUUCAAAUCCCAGUACCUUACAAGUUCAGUUCGAAUUUGGCUUUCACUAAUCCACUUUCAGGGCGACUGUACCCCCAUCAGCCCCUAAGGAAAAUAUAAUUAUGAAAAGCUAACGUCAGGAGAACAGGCUUGUGAGGCAACCACAGAAAUACCCAGUUGUGUGGGUAUUAUGCAAGGCAGCAUAAGCUAUGGUGCACGUCAUAGCAAUUUUCGGUCAUUAAAAAGGUGCAUGUA